UGACGGAGCAACGCCGCGUGAGUGAUGAAGGUUUUCGGAUCGUAAAGCUCUGUUGUUAGGGAAGAACAAGUGCAAGAGUAACUGCUUGCACCUUGACGGUACCUAACCAGAAAGCCACGGCUAACUACGUGCCAGCAGCCGCGGUAAUACGUAGGUGGCAAGCGUUGUCCGGAAUUAUUGGGCGUAAAGGGCUCGCAGGCGGUUUCUUAAGUCUGAUGUGAAAGCCCCCGGCUCAACCGGGGAGGGUCAUUGGAAACUGGGAAACUUGAGUGCAGAAGAGGAGAGUGGAAUUCCACGUGUAGCGGUGAAAUGCGUAGAGAUGUGGAGGAACACCAGUGGCGAAGGCGACUCUCUGGUCUGUAACUGACGCUGAGGAGCGAAAGCGUGGGGAGCGAACAGGAUUAGAUACCCUGGUAGUCCACGCCGUAAACGAUGAGUGCUAAGUGUUAGGGGGUUUCCGCCCCUUAGUGCUGCAGCUAACGCAUUAAGCACUCCGCCUGGGGAGUACGGUCGCAAGACUGAAACUCAAAGGAAUUGACGGGGGCCCGCACAAGCGGUGGAGCAUGUGGUUUAAUUCGAAGCAACGCGAAGAACCUUACCAGGUCUUGACAUCCUCUGACAACCCUAGAGAUAGGGCUUUCCCUUCGGGGACAGAGUGACAGGUGGUGCAUGGUUGUCGUCAGCUCGUGUCGUGAGAUGUUGGGUUAAGUCCCGCAACGAGCGCAACCCUUGAUCUUAGUUGCCAGCAUUUAGUUGGGCACUCUAAGGUGACUGCCGGUGACAAACCGGAGGAAGGUGGG
rnacentral:rRNA from 5 species